rnacentral:tRNA from 1 species
GGGGAUUUAGCUCAGUGGCAUAAGCACCUGCCUUGCAAGCAGGUGGUCGAUCAGCCACCA